rnacentral:rRNA from 1 species
GACGAACGCUGGCGGCGUGCCUAACACAUGCAAGUCGAACGGAGAUACGAUUUCGGUUGUAUCUUAGUGGCGAACGGGUGAGUAACGCGUGAACAACCUGACUCUAAGAGGGGGAUAACACUCGGAAACGGGUGCUAAUACCGCAUAAGACCACGACCCGGCAUCGGGAUGAGGUCAAAGGAGCAAUCCGCUGAGAGAGGGGUUCGCGUCCCAUUAGAUAGAUGGCGGGGUAACGGCCCACCAUGUCAACGAUGGGUAGCCGAGCUGAGAGGCUGAUCGGCCACACUGGAACUGAGACACGGUCCAGACUCCUACGGGAGGCAGCAGUGGGGAAUAUUGGGCAAUGGGCGCAAGCCUGACCCAGCAACGCCGCGUGAGGGAAGAAGGCUUUCGGGUUGUAAACCUCUGUCCUUGGUGACGAAACAAAUGACGGUAGCCAAGGAGGAAGCCCCGGCUAACUACGUG